rnacentral:rRNA from 1 species
GCGCGAAAACUUUGCAAUAAGCGAAAGCUUGACAGGGCUAUCCCGAGUGCCAUCCGCUGAGGAAGGCUUUUACCCAGUCUAGUAAGCUGGGGGAAUAAGGAGAGGGCAAGUCUGGUGUCAGCCGCCGCGGUAAUACCAGCUCUCCGAGUGGUGUGGAUGUUUAUUGGGCCUAAAGCAUCCGUAGCUGGCUGAGUUAGUCCCCUGUUAAAUCCACCGAAUCAAUCGUUGGAUUGCGGGGGAUACUGCUCGGCUAGGGGACGGGAGAGGCAGACGGUAUUUCCGGGGUAAGGGUGAAAUCUUAUAAUCCCGGGAAGACCACCAGUGGCGAAGGCUGUCUGCUAGAACGCGCCCGACGGUGAGGGAUGAAAGCUGGGGUAGCGAACCGGAUUAGAUACCCGGGUAGUCCCAGCCGUAAACGAUGCAGGCUAGGUGUUAGAGCAACUAUGGGUUGCUCUAGUGCCGCAGAGAAGUUGUUAAGCUCGCCGCCUGGGAAGUACGGCCGCGAAGGCUGAAACUUAAGGAUUGGC